UACGAAGGGUGCAAGCGUUACUCGGAAUUACUGGGCGUAAAGCGUGCGUAGGUGGUGGUUUAAGUCUGUCGUGAAAGCCCUGGGCUCAACCUGGGAAUUGCGAUGGAUACUGGAUCACUAGAGUGUGGUAGAGGGAUGCGGAAUUUCCGGUGUAGCAGUGAAAUGCGUAGAGAUCGGAAGGAACAUCUGUGGCGAAGGCGGCAUCCUGGGCCAACACUGACACUGAGGCACGAAAGCGUGGGGAGCAAACAGG
rnacentral:rRNA from 1 species